CUCUUUCUCGAUUCAGUGGAUGGUGGUGCAUGGCCGUUCUUAGUUGGUGGAGUGAUCUGUCUGGUUAAUUCCGAUAACGAACGAGACUCUCCCCUGCUAACUAGUCGGUUGGAUCUUGAUCAGUGGGUUGAGUGCCGAGUAACUCUCGCUGUGCGUGGUGUGCGUCUCGUUCCUCACGGUUCGUUGCGUACUCAUGUGUGGCGUUGGAUGCCUUGGAUCACACUGCACCCCAAGUCCGCCGCUUUGCUAUAACUCUUCUUAGAGGGAUUCACGGCACUGAAGCCGUAAGAGACUGAGAGCAAUAACAGGUCUGUGAUGCCCUUAGAUGCUCUGGGCCGCACGCGCGCUACAAUGCCGGGCACAGCAGGUGUUUCUCCUGCUCCGACAGGAGCGGGUAACCCUCUGAAAGCCAGUGUUCUUGCAAGUGCUUCCUCCCUCGUGGAGUUGCACANAGGCGUGCUUGGGCCUGGGACUUGCAAUUCUUUCCCACCAACGAGGAAUGCCUAGUAGCGGCGGGUCACUGAGCCCGCUGUGACUCAGUCCCUGCCCUUUGUACACACCGCCCGUCGCUACUACCGAUUGGGUGUACCAGUGAGAGCCUUGGACUGGCGUCCGG
rnacentral:rRNA from 1 species